rnacentral:lncRNA from 1 species
CCCCUCCCACCCCACAGCAUCUCUGAUUUCCAGACAGUGAAUCCUGGUGCAGAGGAGUGGGCAGAGGAAGGGUGUUCUUCCAGUAUCAGUGGCCACUUUUCCUUCUGAGUGCUACCUUGGGGGCAGAGCCUGCUUUUAGAACUCAGCAGACCUCCAUAUGUGCUUUCUCAUGUCUUAUGCUCUCCUGGGCCCUUGACUUCAGUGGAGAAGGGAGAGGGACACACAGUCUUGUGCCCUGAUGUGGGUUGUAUCUGGGACAAGGUAGAUUUUAUGGGAUUGUAGACUGGAGGUCUUCAGGUGACAGAAUAUUCCUCCUCUCACUUCUUAGGUCUGAUGGUGAUGGUUUGUGUGGCGGAACUUCUGUCUUCUUAGUGUCCUAGGCGACAGUGACCAAGCUAAAUGUCCUCAAGUCUUUCCAAAAUGGGUGAUUAUAUCAUUGGGUCAUGGCUGGGAUCAUGUCUGUGUGACAUGAUUUAUUAGUUUAAGACAAAGACGAGGGGGUAACUUUGCACCUGCGUCCCCAAUCCCUGUCUCCCAGGGGAUAUUUGGCAAUAUCCAGAGACCUUUUUUAGUUGUCACAACUGGGGAGCAAAACGUCUGUUAUGGGUUUCUAGUGGGUAUAGGCCAGAUAUACCACCAGUUAUCCUACAGUAUACAAAACAGCCCUCCCUGCAAUAAAGAAUUACCGAGUCCAAAAUAAUAAUCUUACUGAGAUUGAGAAACCUUGAUGUAUGCAGACAGUUUUGUAGAAAUGAACUUCAGAGUUUAUUUCAUCUUGUCCCUGCUUCUGUUGGAAGUGACCAGGAGCUGUCUGGUUAUUACCUUCUCCCUUUGUCCCCUUCUCCUCCUUCUUCAGCAUCUUCGUGGAGCCUUGUUGGUGAAAUACUUGAGCAUCUUACUUCAGGAGGUUGUUUCUAGGCAGUCGCUCACAGCUCCUGUGGGAUGGUUUGGCAUGGAAUCAUACCUUUUAAGCAUGUGUAUAUUCCAGGCCAGUUAUAUAGGUGGUUUUGUGCAGCUGUGUUGCAGUGCACUGAAGCAGGCAUAUGAUGAUGGCAUAUUUAGUUGCUGAUACUUUUAAGAUGAACUUUAAGGGCAACAGCAGCUUGAUUCCAAG